AGAGUUUGAUCCUGGCUCAGGAUGAACGCUGGCGGCGCGCCUAACACAUGCAAGUCGAACGGCACCCCUCUCCGGAGGGAAGCGAGUGGCGAACGGCUGAGUAACACGUGGAGAACCUGCCCCCUCCCCCGGGAUAGCCGCCCGAAAGGACGGGUAAUACCGGAUACCCCGGGGUGCCGCAUGGCACCCCGGCUAAAGCCCCGACGGGAGGGGAUGGCUCCGCGGCCCAUCAGGUAGACGGCGGGGUGACGGCCCACCGUGCCGACAACGGGUAGCCGGGUUGAGAGACCGACCGGCCAGAUUGGGACUGAGACACGGCCCAGACUCCUACGGGAGGCAGCAGAGGGGAAUCUUGCGCAAUGGGGGGAACCCUGACGCAGCGACGCCGCGUGCGGGACGGAGGCCUUCGGGUCGUAAACCGCUUUCAGCAGGGAAGAGUCAAGACUGUACCUGCAGAAGAAGCCCCGGCUAACUACGUGCCAGCAGCCGCGGUAAUACGUAGGGGGCGAGCGUUAUCCGGAUUCAUUGGGCGUAAAGCGCGCGUAGGCGGCCCGGCAGGCCGGGGGUCGAAGCGGGGGGCUCAACCCCCCGAAGCCCCCGGAACCUCCGCGGCUUGGGUCCGGUAGGGGAGGGUGGAACACCCGGUGUAGCGGUGGAAUGCGCAGAUAUCGGGUGGAACACCGGUGGCGAAGGCGGCCCUCUGGGCCGAGACCGACGCUGAGGCGCGAAAGCUGGGGGAGCGAACAGGAUUAGAUACCCUGGUAGUCCCAGCCGUAAACGAUGGACGCUAGGUGUGGGGGGACGAUCCCCCCGUGCCGCAGCCAACGCAUUAAGCGUCCCACCUGGGGAGUACGACCGCAAGGUUGAAACUCAAAGGAAUUGACGGGGGCCCGCACAAGCAGUGGAGUAUGUGGUUUAAUUCGAAGCAACGCGAAGAACCUUACCUGGGCUUGACAUCCCUGGAAUCGAGUAGAGAUACUUGAGUGCCUUCGGGAAUCAGGUGACAGGUGGUGCAUGGUUGUCGUCAGCUCGUGUCGUGAGAUGUUGGGUUAAGUCCCGCAACGAGCGCAACCCCUAUUGUCAGUUGCCAUCAUUAAGUUGGGCACUCUGGCGAGACUGCCGGUGACAAAUCGGAGGAAGGUGGGGACGACGUCAAAUCAUCAUGCCCCUUAUGCCCAGGGCUACACACGUACUACAAUGGCCGAUAACAAAGUGCAGCGAAACCGUGAGGUGGAGCGAAUCACAAAACUCGGUCUCAGUUCAGAUUGCAGGCUGCAACUCGCCUGCAUGAAGUUGGAAUUGCUAGUAAUCGCGGAUCAGAAUGCCGCGGUGAAUACGUUCCCGGGCCUUGCACACACCGCCCGUCA
rnacentral:rRNA from 1 species